CUGCGAAGGUGGCCUGUGAGGGUUGCUGGAGGUAUCAGAAGUGCGAAUGCUGACAUAAGUAACGAUAAAGCGGGUGAAAAGCCCGCUCGCCGGAAGACCAAGGGUUCCUGUCCAACGUUAAUCGGGGCAGGGUGAGUCGACCCCUAAGGCGAGGCCGAAAGGCGUAGUCGAUGGGAAACGGGUUAAUAUUCCCGUACUUGGUGUUACUGCGAAGGGGGGACGGAGAAGGCUAUGUUGGCCGGGCGACGGUUGUCCCGGUUUAAGCGUGUAGGUGUGUGUUCCAGGUAAAUCCGGUUCACUUUAACACUGAGGCGUGAUGACGAGGCACUACGGUGCUGAAGCAACAAAUGCCCUGCUUCCAGGAAAAGCCUCUAAGCAUCAGGUAACAUCAAAUCGUACCCCAAACCGACACAGGUGGUCAGGUAGAGAAUACCAAGGCGCUUGAGAGAACUCGGGUGAAGGAACUAGGCAAAAUGGUGCCGUAACUUCGGGAGAAGGCACGCUGACAC
rnacentral:rRNA from 1 species